rnacentral:rRNA from 1 species
AUGAGCUCCAGGCGCCCACAGCUUCACUUCAUCCUGCUACUGCUCACAUACUACUGCCCCAUCCGCAUCGCUGCCAACGGCGGCAAUGGAACCAGAGUCCAGUGCCUCCCUGAUCAGGCGUCGUCUCUCCUCCAGCUGAAGCACUCCUUUCACAACACCAACCUCUCUACCUGGCAGCAGGGCUCAGACUGUUGCCACUGGGAGGGCGUCGGGUGUGAUAGGGAUUCCGGUCAGGUGAUCACUUUGGACCUCAGUGAUCGUAACCUGCGGAGCUUCCGUGGUCUCAGCCCAGCACUAUUCAAUCUCACCUCUCUCACAAGUCUCAGCCUCUCUGGUAACGACUUUGGCCAUAUCAACCUUCCUAAUUUCGGCUUUGAGCGGCUGGUCCAGCUCCUCAGUCUCGACUUGUCUGAUACGAGCUUGGCUGGACAGAUUCCUGGGUUAUUUGCAACAUUCUCUUUCUUAAGAUACAUUGAUCUCUGGGGUAAUAAUUUUGAAGGGAAACUUCCAACAAAAAUCUUCCAGCUAGAAAAUCUGAUAUAUCUUGAUUUCUCGUACAACCCUAGUCUUUUUGUUCAACUACCAAAUUUCUCACCAGGAAAUCAUUUGGAAUCUUUAGAUUUAUGGAAGACAAAUUGUUCUGGUGUCAUACCAGACUCUUUUUUUGACCGGUUUUAUCCUAUGUGUGCAGGUGACAUUCCAAAAUGUUUGUUCAAUCUUCCAAAUUUGGAAGGAUUGUCCUUACACUCAAAUCAACUUUCUGGUCACCUUGAAGAUAUUUCCGCACCACUAUCUUCACAUUUUACUUCCAUUUGGUUAAGUUCUAAUCAGCUAAGUGGCCACAUACCCAAAUCAUUCUUUCAGUUGACAAAAAUUGAAGUUAUUUGGCUUCACCCGAAUAAACUGGAGGGCACUAUAGAGCUUAGCCUUCUGUCAGGACUGAAAUAUCUUUCUAUGUUGAGCCUUUCUGACAACAUGCUAUCAGUAAUAGACGGAGAAUAUCUAUUUCCUACCCUGCCUAACAUGCAAGACCUACACCUUGCUUCUUGCAACCUUACAAAAAUACCAAAUAUGUUGAGGCGUCAAUAUGAGAUGGAGGAUGUUGACCUUUCAAGCAAUAAUAUAGAUGGAGUUAUACCAUGUUGGUUGUGGGAGAAUGGGAAGAAUAGCAUGCGGUUCAACCUUUCACACAACAUGUUCGCCUCGAGAAAUUACUCCAACAAUAGCUUCUCUUCCAUCACACCGGCGGUGGAUAUACAUAUCAACAACUCCAUCUAUCUUGAUUUGUCAAAGAAUAAACUAAAUGGUCAUAUACCAACUUCACUUUGUGGUGCAAACUAUGAAAUGCUUGACUUGUCAUACAACAACCUUACUGGCUCGGUUCCAUCCUGCUUGAUUCAACAUGGCAAUGUGAAAAUGUUAAAGUUGAGAAACAACCAAUUAAAUGGGAUGUUGCCUGAAAAUAUUGGAGAAGGUUGUAUGCUUCAGCCAAUAGAUUUGAACAGCAACCAAAUUGAAGGGAAAAUACCCAGAUCGCUCUCUAACUGCAGAAGCUUAGAGGUCCUUGAUAUAGGUAACAAUCAUAUUGUUGAUUCUUUCCCAACCUGGUUGGGGAUCCUUUCCAAUCUUCGAGUUCUCAUCUUAAGAUCCAACCAAUUCCAUGGUUCAAUUGGGAGCCCUUCAGAAGGUGUUGCUGCCAGAAAUAUUUUCUCAGGAAUGCAAAUUAUUGAUUUGGCCUCCAAUAACUUUUCUGGGAGCUUAAAUUCAAAAUGGUUUGAGAAGCUAGAGACAAUGAUGACAAACUCUAGUACUGAGGGUAAUGCUCUAGCCCUAGAUAAUAGAAGUUCUCCUGGGAAUGAGUACUACCAAGAAAUUCUCACAUUCAAAGGGAUUGAACAUACAUUUACCAAGAUCCUGACCACUUUCAAGAUGAUUGAUUUCUCAAACAAUGCAUUUGAUGGCCCCAUCCCAGACUCAGUUGGGAAGCUUAUUGCUCUACAUGGCCUGAACAUGUCACAUAAUGCCUUGACUGGAGCAAUCCCAUCAAAGCUUGCCGACUUGGCUCAACUCGAGUCACUAGACCUCUCUCAGAACAAGCUCUCGGGGAUGAUCCCACAGGAGCUAAACAUGCUGACAUAUCUUGCAGUGCUGAAUCUAUCAAACAACAAUUUGAGCGGAAUGAUACCAGAAGGGCAGCAGUUUUCGUCAUUCACCAACAGCUCGUUCGAAGGCAAUGAAGGGCUGUGUGGAAGGCCAUUAUCCAAACAGUGCAACAGUUCAGGUACGGGAACCCUCGACUCAUCAGUGUCUUCGCAAGACAGUGUUGGAACCAUAGUGUUGUUUGUGCUUGUGGGAUCCGGUUUCGCAGUUGGAUUUGCAGCGGCAGUUGUGUCGUCAGUGGUUUUUCAGGUCAAACGUUGGAACUGCAAUCAUUUCCUGUUCUACCAAUGA